rnacentral:sRNA from 1 species
CAAUGAAUGCAGUAGUGUCCUUACCAAUAACUGUAGUCAAGUGUGUACAAACACUGUAGGAGGCUAUGAAUGUUCCUGUUAUGCUGGAUAUAGCUAUGACAGUAAAACAUUCACUUGUAAUGAUAUUGAUGAGUGUAAUCUUCCAACUUCUAAAUGUGAACAGUUGUGUAUCAACACUGAAGGAAGUUAUCAUUGCUCUUGUACAUCAGAUCUUAUCUUAUUAGCUGAUGGAGUCUCCUGUAGAGCCACACUCCCUUGUGUCAACAAGACAGACUGCAGCAAUGAUUGUGCUCUGAUCAAUGGAACUGACACUUGUCUUUGUCCUAGAGGAACAAAAUUGGCUGCAGAUGGGAAAACUU